ensembl:lncRNA
GUGAAAGUGAAGUCGCUCAGUCAUGUCUGACUCUAAGUGACCCCAUGGACUGCAGCCUACCAGGCUCCUCCGUCCAUGGGAUUUUCUAGGCAAGAGUACUGGAGUGGGGUGCCAUUGCCUUCUCUGAGGAUGGACCUUUACUACCUAAUAAGUUAAAGGUACAAAUCAGAUAGGUGAAUGUUGGUCAGACCUAACCGGAAACUCUUCCUAGGAUUUCAAGAUGAGAAUGAGAAGAGUGUCAAAUUAAUUAAAAUCACCACAUUCUUUGUAACUCUUUUGAGAUUCAGAUAUACUGAGUAGAAUUCCAGUUCAAGUGAUCAAGUUUUAGAUAAUGCUUCUGUAGUACCUGAUUCACAACAGUUCCCUUCAAACAUUCACACCAGUGUAAUGGCCCCAUCCCCAUUUCUUUCUCACUUUUUAUUUAUUUGAUAAUUGCAGAAUUGUGAGACUCUGUAUUCAUCUGCAUAAUUUGAGGGCUUUUGAGACUAGUUUCAACACCAAAAGGAUAGACUAGAUAGUAGAUCAUUCUUGAUAAAAACGUGACUUAUUUGUUAGAAUUUGAUAUAAACCUUUACAUUUCAGGGGCACUUUUCCCCCCUAAAACAGUCUAGAAUAGAGGAGGACUUAAUAUAUCUUUAUACCUCCCCUGUGAUUUAUUUAAGCUCCUGCAUAUUUUUGAGCCGGUCUUUAAGGAAAGCAGUAAUAAUUAAUGAUGGUCCUGUGGAUGUGGCUAGACAGAAAAGAGCAAUGGCACACACCAGCAUGUGCAGAGGCCAACCAGGAACCAGUUAUUUUGCUUCCAUAUGCUGCUACCAAGGGUGCAAAUUUACUUUGAGAUUUUGCUGUUAUUUUAUUGGGUUUUUUAAUUAAGUUAUUACUUUUCACAGGUUACUUUAAAUUCCAGACAAUUGUAAAAACAAACCUCAUUUGAGAUAUUUUAAUAUUACAUAUCAUGAAAACUACCAGAUGUACUUUGGUAAGAGAAAUCAAGGAGUUUCUCAUACAAAGGAUGCCAGGUUGUCGAUUUUCUAAACCUUGUGCUCCUCUUCAUUAAUCUGGCCCCUAGGACUUCCAGUGAUUCCACUAAUUAAGCAUUAUAUUAGGUCCUGCCCCAAGGAGCACUAGGGGGGUACAGAGUUAAAGAGGAAGCUGAUCCAACUGUUUUGCUUAGUUCUGAUUAUGGCUCUGGCUGGAGAAGAGUUUAUAAUCAUGAUUGAAUGUACAUUUUGUUAGUACCUUGGGUUUUAAUUAUCCAUCUUGUCUCAUCUAGUACUCUGUCAUCCAGAUAAUGAAGUAUUUGUGGGAGCAGAGCUCCUCACACACCAGGGGGUGUAAUAAAUGUUUGCACUUGACUCAAGUUGAUACAUUAUGACUGUGGCACAGUAAAUAAAGCUUGUGUACAAAAUAUUUAUUUCUAUGGCAGC